CAAGUCCAGCGGCAAUANGGAAAGUAGCUUGCUACUUUUGCCGUAGAGCGGCGGACGGGUGAGUAAUGCCUGGGAAAUUGCCCAGUCGAGGGGGAUAACAGUUGGAAACGACUGCUAAUACCGCAUACGCCCUACGGGGGAAAGCAGGGGACCUUCGGGCCUUGCGCGAUUGGAUAUGCCCAGGUGGGAUUAGCUAGUUGGUGAGGUAAUGGCUCACCAAGGCGACGAUCCCUAGCUGGUCUGAGAGGAUGAUCAGCCACACUGGAACUGAGACACGGUCCAGACUCCUACGGGAGGCAGCAGUGGGGAAUAUUGCACAAUGGGGGAAACCCUGAUGCAGCCAUGCCGCGUGUGUGAAGAAGGCCUUCGGGUUGUAAAGCACUUUCAGCGAGGAGGAAAGGUCAGUAGCUAAUAUCUGCUGACUGUGACGUUACUCGCAGAANAAGCACCGGCUAACUCCGUGCCAGCAGCC
rnacentral:rRNA from 1 species